rnacentral:rRNA from 1 species
UAGAUACCCUGGUAGUCCACGCCGUAAACGAUGGGUGCUAGACGUUGGCGAGCUUGCUCGUCAGUGUCGCAGCUAACGCGUUAAGCACCCCGCCUGGGGAGUACGGCCGCAAGGUUGAAACUCAAAGGAAUUGACGGGGGCCCGCACAAGCGGUGGAGCAUGUGGUUCAAUUCGACGCAACGCGCAGAACCUUACUAGCCCUUGAUAUGUGACUCGCCGGCUCCAGAGACGGAGCCUUCGGUUCGGCCGG